rnacentral:rRNA from 1 species
GGUUAAGCGACUAAGCGUACACGGUGGAUGCCCUGGCAGUCAGAGGCGAUGAAGGGCGUGCUAAUCUGCGAUAAGCGCCGGUAAGGUGAUAUGAACCGUUAUAACCGGCGAUACCCGAAUGGGGAAACCCAGUGUGAUUCGUCACACUAUCAUUAACUGAAUCCAUAGGUUAAUGAGGCGAACCGGGGGAACUGAAACAUCUAAGUACCCCGAGGAAAAGAAAUCAACCGAGAUUCCCCCAGUAGCGGCGAGCGAACGGGGAGGAGCCCAGAGCCUGAAUCAGCAUGUGUGUUAGUGGAAGCGUCUGGAAAGGCGCGCGAUACAGGGUGACAGCCCCGUACACAAAAGCGCAUGUGCUGUGAGCUCGAUGAGUAGGGCGGGACACGUGGUAUCCUGUCUGAAUAUGGGGGGACCAUCCUCCAAGGCUAAAUACUCCUGACUGACCGAUAGUGAACCAGUACCGUGAGGGAAAGGCGAAAAGAACCCCGGCGAGGGGAGUGAAAAAGAACCUGAAACCGUGUACGUACAAGCAGUGGGAGCACAGGUUUACCUGUGUGACUGCGUACCUUUUGUAUAAUGGGUCAGCGACUUAUAUUCUGUAGCAAGGUUAACCGUAUAGGGGAGCCGUAGGGAAACCGAGUCUUAACCGGGCGUUAAGUUGCAGGGUAUAGACCCGAAACCCGGUGAUCUAGCCAUGGGCAGGUUGAAGGUUGGGUAACACUAACUGGAGGACCGAACCGACUAAUGUUGAAAAAUUAGCGGAUGACCUGUGGCUGGGGGUGAAAGGCCAAUCAAACCGGGAGAUAGCUGGUUCUCCCCGAAAGCUAUUUAGGUAGCGCCUCGUGAAUUCAUCUCCGGGGGUAGAGCACUGUUUCGGCUAGGGGGCCAUCCCGGCUUACCAACCCGAUGCAAACUGCGAAUACCGGAGAAUGUUAUCACGGGAGACACACGGCGGGUGCUAACGUCCGUCGUGAAGAGGGAAACAACCCAGACCGCCAGCUAAGGUCCCAAAGUCAUGGUUAAGUGGGAAACGAUGUGGGAAGGCCCAGACAGCCAGGAUGUUGGCUUAGAAGCAGCCAUCAUUUAAAGAAAGCGUAAUAGCUCACUGGUCGAGUCGGCCUGCGCGGAAGAUGUAACGGGGCUAAACCAUGCACCGAAGCUGCGGCAGCGAACGUAUCACCCAAGACAACUUUACGGAGUUGACGAUUGACGGAGCGAAGCGACGUCAAAGCGUUCAUUAAAGUCGAGUUGGCUUAGGGAUACGUUCGUUGGGUAGGGGAGCGUUCUGUAAGCCUGUGAAGGUGUGUCGUGAGGCAUGCUGGAGGUAUCAGAAGUGCGAAUGCUGACAUAAGUAACGAUAAAGCGGGUGAAAAGCCCGCUCGCCGGAAGACCAAGGGUUCCUGUCCAACGUUAAUCGGGGCAGGGUGAGUCGACCCCUAAGGCGAGGCCGAAAGGCGUAGUCGAUGGGAAACGGGUUAAUAUUCCCGUACUUGGUGUUACUGCGAAGGGGGGACGGAGAAGGCUAUGUUGGCCGGGCGACGGUUGUCCCGGUUUAAGCGUGUAGGUGUGUGUUCCAGGUAAAUCCGGUUCACUUUAACACUGAGGCGUGACGACGAGGCACUACGGUGCUGAAGCAACAAAUGCCCUGCUUCCAGGAAAAGCCUCUAAGCAUCAGGUAACACGAAAUCGUACCCCAAACCGACACAGGUGGUCAGGUAGAGAAUACCAAGGCGCUUGAGAGAACUCGGGUGAAGGAACUAGGCAAAAUGGUGCCGUAACUUCGGGAGAAGGCACGCUGACACGUAGGUGAAGUGAUUUACUCACGGAGCUGAAGUCAGUCGAAGAUACCAGCUGGCUGCAACUGUUUAUUAAAAACACAGCACUGUGCAAACACGAAAGUGGACGUAUACGGUGUGACGCCUGCCCGGUGCCGGAAGGUUAAUUGAUGGGGUCAGCGCAAGCGAAGCUCCUGAUCGAAGCCCCGGUAAACGGCGGCCGUAACUAUAACGGUCCUAAGGUAGCGAAAUUCCUUGUCGGGUAAGUUCCGACCUGCACGAAUGGCGUAAUGAUGGCCAGGCUGUCUCCACCCGAGACUCAGUGAAAUUGAACUCGCUGUGAAGAUGCAGUGUACCCGCGGCAAGACGGAAAGACCCCGUGAACCUUUACUAUAGCUUGACACUGAACAUUGAGCCUUGAUGUGUAGGAUAGGUGGGAGGCUUUGAAGUGUGGACGCCAGUCUGCAUGGAGCCGACCUUGAAAUACCACCCUUUAAUGUUUGAUGUUCUAACGUGGACCCGUAAUCCGGGUUGCGGACAGUGUCUGGUGGGUAGUUUGACUGGGGCGGUCUCCUCCUAAAGAGUAACGGAGGAGCACGAAGGUUGGCUAAUCCUGGUCGGACAUCAGGAGGUUAGUGCAAUGGCAUAAGCCAGCUUGACUGCGAGCGUGACGGCGCGAGCAGGUGCGAAAGCAGGUCAUAGUGAUCCGGUGGUUCUGAAUGGAAGGGCCAUCGCUCAACGGAUAAAAGGUACUCCGGGGAUAACAGGCUGAUACCGCCCAAGAGUUCAUAUCGACGGCGGUGUUUGGCACCUCGAUGUCGGCUCAUCACAUCCUGGGGCUGAAGUAGGUCCCAAGGGUAUGGCUGUUCGCCAUUUAAAGUGGUACGCGAGCUGGGUUUAGAACGUCGUGAGACAGUUCGGUCCCUAUCUGCCGUGGGCGCUGGAGAACUGAGGGGGGCUGCUCCUAGUACGAGAGGACCGGAGUGGACGCAUCACUGGUGUUCGGGUUGUCAUGCCAAUGGCACUGCCCGGUAGCUAAAUGCGGAAGAGAUAAGUGCUGAAAGCAUCUAAGCACGAAACUUGCCCCGAGAUGAGUUCUCCCUGAGACUUAGAGUCUCCUGAAGGAACGUUGAAGACGACGACGUUGAUAGGCCGGGUGUGUAAGCGCAGCGAUGCGUUGAGCUAACCGGUACUAAUGAACCGUGAGGCUUAACCUU